rnacentral:pre_miRNA from 1 species
UUAACUCUAAUUUGCAUGGAGUUGGAAAGUUUGCCUACACUUGCCGCUAGGGGCGCUGUUCCCACUGCAUACAAAUAAAAGUUA